GUAGGUGGCAAGCGUCGUCCGGAAUUAUUGGGCGUAAAGCGCGCGCAGGCGGUCCUUUAAGUCUGAUGUGAAAGCCCACGGCUCAACCGUGGAGGGUCAUUGGCAACUGGGGGACUUGAGUACAGAAGAGGAAAGUGGAAUUCCAAGUGUAGCGGUGAAAUGCGUAGAGAUUUGGAGGAACACCAGUGGCGAAGGCGGCUUUCUGGUCUGUAUCUGACGCUGAGGCGCGAAAGCGUGGGGAGCAAACAGGAUUAGAUACCCCGGUAGUCCACGCUGUAAGCGAUGAGUGCUAAGUGUUAGGGGGUUUCCGCCCCUUAGUGCUGCAGCUAACGCAUUAAGCACUCCGCCUGGGAGUACGGCCGCAAGGCUG
rnacentral:rRNA from 1 species